GUGGACCAAGAUGAAUUGAUGGAGAGGAUGAGCAAUGUAACAGAAUUCAUCCUACUGGGCCUGACCCAGAAUCCAGGACUGCAGACACUCUUAUUUGCUGUGUUUCUGAUCAUCUACUUGAUCACAUUGGCAGUGACAAGUGGGAGAGCUGGUGGAAUCAGCUGUGAGAUACUUGAGCAGCACUUAUUUCAGAAGCUCUCACUGAUGGUGGAUCCUGUCCUGAUCCUGUCCUCAGGAAGAAAGAGAAGAAGGGACAGCUCAGUUCCAGGAUCCUGUCCUGAUCCUGUCCUCAGGAAGAAAGAGGAUAAGGGACAGCUCAGUUCCAGAGACCAAAAGGCCCAUCUCUGUACAGAGCUUGCGAUUUCUGAGGGAGAGCUCAGAAACUUGUUUUCAUGAGAUUUCUCAACCAAGGAUUUGAAUAUCAGGCGAUGCUGGCUUUUCAUUUCUCAUGUUCUUCGGACUUUAUUAUCAGGUUAGAUCUCACUGUAUGUAUAAAGGCUUUAAACCUAGAGGGGUGGGAUGGGGAAGGAGAUUCAAAAGGGAGGGUAUAUAUGUAUACUUAUGGUUGAUUCAUGUUGAGGUUUGACAGAAAACAGCAAAAUUCUGUAAAGCAAUGAUCCUUCAAUAAAAAAAAAUCCCUGUUUGCUAUAAAAAAAAUAGAUAUUUUAUUUUGCCAUAACCUCCUAUGAGUGAUCAUUUUGUAAAUAUAUGUAAGCAACUGUGUGUUUAAAAAAAAAUCACAUAUAUCUUUUAAAUAUCUAGUUGUAGUCUCCAAGAAAGCUGGAAUGAAACGGGAUGAUAUAAAAGGAAGGAUAAUAGUGAUGAUAAUGAUAGCUGUUUACUGAGUCCUUUCUGUGAAUAAAGUCUUCAUCUGAGCACUUACUCAUUUUAUAUGUUUUGGAGGAAACAGAUUUGUGACCUUAAUUUAUGUCUUUCUUUAAUUUGUCUCAAACUGUGGAACUUAUCUUUGUCUUAAAUAUUUCUUCAUCUGAACAUAAUGGUAAACCUAUGUUAAGGAUGGUGUGAAUGUAAAUAAAUCAAUGCUAGUGUAAAAAUUAUGACAGCUUUUCUUACUUAUGUUUUCACCCUGUGCAAAGUGGUUUAUAUUUGUUUUAUUUAAUUUUCACUACAGCCCAAUAAUUGCAGUCAUAUUAAUAUUCCCAUUUCAUAAAUUAGGGAACAAAGUGUCAGAGAGGUCAAUUAUAUUGCUAGAGAUCAGUUGUCUUAAGUUUGGCUGAAUGAGAAUUUAAAUCUAAGCCUAUGUGACCCACAGCCUUAGUGCAUUACCAAAACCAUUUUGCACCCCCCUAAUAUAAACAGCCAAUAAACUAAAUUUCUCAUGUUUCCCUUGAAUCUUUAGAAUUCUCUUCUUGAAACCUUUGGCCUUCAUGUGUUAACCUAUUGGAAAGUGGACUUUCUUUUAACAGACCUGAAAUGCAUGAGUCUGAGAAGAACUGGCUAGUGACUGGGUGGUGAUUCCGAAACUUUUUGAUUCCCAUGUAAUAGGAAAUUCCUUUGAAAUUAUUUUCUUCUCCAUCUGCACUAGUUUAUACAUAACAAUUGGCUUAUACUGUAGUACUUUCCUGUGUUAAUUUUUUAAAAUUAGCAAAUAUAUUUGAUAUGAAUAUGUAUUCAUUCUGCUGUUGUCCAUUAAAAAUAUAUACCUAAAGAAACUAAAGACCUAUAUAUAGAAAACUAUAAAACACUGGUGAAAGAAAUCAAAGAGGACACUAAUAGAUGGAGAAAUAUACCAUGUUCAUGGAUUGGAAGAAUCAAUAUAGUGAAAAUGAGUAUACUACCCAAAGCAAUUUAUAGAUUCAAUGCAAUCCCUAUCAAGCUACCAACAGUAUUCUUCACAGAGCUAGAACAAAUAAUUUCACAAUUUGUAUGGAAAUACAAAAAACCUUGAAUAGCCAAAGCGAUCUUGAGAAAGAAGAAUGGAACUGGAGGAAUCAACCUACCUGACUUCAGGCUCUACUACAAAGCCACAGUUAUCAAGACAGUAUGGUACUGGCACAAAGACAGAAAUAUUGAUCAAUGGAAUAAAAUAGAAAGCCCAGAGAUAAAUCCACGCACAUAUGGACACCUUAUCUUUGACAAAGGAGGCAAGAAUAUACAAUGGAUUAAAGACAAUCUCUUUAACAAGUGGUGCUGGAAAUCUGGUCAACCACUUGUAAAAGAAUGAAACUAGACCACUUUCUAACACCAUACACAAAAAUAAACUCAAAAUGGAUUAAAGAUCUAAACGUAAGACCAGAAACUAUAAAACUCCUAGAGGAGAACAUAGGCAAAACACUCUCCGACAUACAUCACAGCAGGAUCCUCUAUGACCCACCUCCCAGAAUAUUGGAAAUAAAAGCAAAAUAAACAAAUGGGACCUAAUUAAACUUAAAAGCUUCUGCACAACAAAGGAAACUAUUAGCAAGGUGAAAAGACAGCCUUCAGAAUGGGAGAAAAUAAUAGCAAAUGAAGAACCGACAAACAACUAAUCUCAAAAUAUACAAGCAACUCCUACAGCUCAACUCCAGAAAAAUAAACGACCCAAUCAAAAAUGGGCCAAAGAACUAAAUAGACAUUUCUCCAAAGAAGACAUACAGAUGGCUAACAAACACAUGAAAAGAUGCUCAACAUCACUCAUUAUCAGAGAAAUGCAAAUCAAAACCACUAUGAGGUACCAUUUCACACCAGUCAGAAUGGCUGCAAUCCAAAAGUCUACAAAUAAUAAAUGCUGGAGAGGGUGUGGAGAAAAGG
ensembl:lncRNA